CUAUUUCCAGUUAACUAAUCUCUCUCUCUCUGAGAUAUUCUUAUAAAAUUCAUCUCUUCAAAUUCUCUGCAUUUGACACAGAUUUUGAUUUUCCCCGGAACAGUGGUCAUCUUCGCCGGCAAUUGUGAGGCUAAUUCAUUCUCCGGGGAUCAAACGGAGGGUCUCACUAUUCCUACUCCUCGUACUGUUGAAGAGGUCUCUAGCGACUUCAGAGGUCGACGAGCUGGUCAUUAAGGCUCUCUCACCAUCGAUAUGGUGAACCUUUACCAAACGUGCCAUCCUGGAAGAGGCUCUUUCAGAUGAUAAACGACCUCCCAACAAUUUUUGAGGUUGUGAGGACGAUGAUGAGCAUGGUGGCCCUUGUGGCUCUUGCGGAGACAACUUCGGUACAGAUGAGUUUUGGAUUUGCUGCGACGAGUGUGAGAAAUGGUUCCAUGGAAGAUGUGUGAAGAUAACACCUGAAAAAGCAGAACAUAUCGUACAUUACAAAUGCCCUAGAUUCAGUUACAAGAGAGCCAGACCUUGUUGAUGUUAAAAUAAAACAACCAAAAGAAGAAGAGAAAAUAGUUAAAGGAGGAAACUGUGAAAGAAGGAGAAGAGGUUCCUAGUUUAUUGAACAAAAGGGUUUUAGAAAUUGCAAGAAGGGUAAAAAAAUACGCUAUUUUCAAUUGGGUAAUGUCUUUUCUCUUUUGGGAUUUUUUCUUGUUUUUCUUUCUUGUCUGCCUUUUUUUUUAGUUGGAAAUAUGCUGGAGUAUAUAUUAUUUAUCAACUAUUACUAUGUCUUUCAUAAGCCUACAUAUAUCAGCUUAUGUGAUUUUGCGUGGCUUUUUAUUAUCACGUAAACUA